UAGUCCACGCCGUAAACGAUGAGUGCUAGGUGUUAGGCCCUUUCCGGGGCUUAGUGCCGUAGCUAACGCAUUAAGCACUCCGCCUGGGGAGUACGACCGCAAGGUUGAAACUCAAAGGAAUUGACGGGGGCCCGCACAAGCGGUGGAGCAUGUGGUUUAAUUCGAAGCAACGCGAAGAACCUUACCAGGUCUUGACAUCCCAGUGCCGUCUCUAGAGAUAGAGAUUUUCUUCGGAACACUGGUGAC
rnacentral:rRNA from 1 species